AGAGCGGUAAGUGUUUGAAAUAGCUUAAACUAAAAAGUUCAUUUUUUAAGUUUUAAGUGUAGUUGGAAGCAGUUAAAUUUGAGAAUAUUGGUCUGUGAUGUGUUUGUAAAGGUUUUAGGUCAUGUAUGGUUUGUUGUUCAUCUGCACAUUGAACGAAGAGAGCAAGCUAGCUUGCCGGAGCUCUCCCUGUGGGUGUGUGUGUGGGUGUGGGUGCGGAGGGGUGCGUCUAAGCGCACAUGUUAAUUCAUCUCUCCUUAUCUUUGUUUCUUUGUUUUUGUGUGUUAGGUAGCCGGUCGUGGAAAUGUGUAAACGCUCACACUCAGAAUGUCACAUUACAGAUUGUGGGGAACAGAAUAAAGAAAAUUCACGUGGCAGCAUCUCCAGUGUCCGGUAUCUCAUAUUGCACCUGAACACAACGCAGAAUUGUCGGGACUUCAAGGCUGUUCCGGCUACAUUGGUGCCGUGACCCGGAUCUCUUCGCCACGGAUCAUCGCCAGAGUGAUCACCGGUGGUUGCUGGAAUAAGUAGAGACUUAAAAAAAAAAAAAAAAAAAAAAAAAAAAAAGUACAUACGUAUGUUACAAGUUGGUUAUAUUGAACGCCAUUGACACUCUUGUUUUUGUAAAUUGAUUUUGUUAAGUUUUUUUUCUUGGACUGUGUGUAUGCCAAGUGUUACUAACCUUCCCACAUUACUUUUGUACGAAUGUCAACCUACUUGGUUAAAAUGGCUAAUGGUAGGGAUGUAAACAGGCCACCUAAUGAUGAUGAGGGUGGUGUAGUAAUGACUCUGGGGCGAGGCAGGUUUUUGGGUGAUUCCACUCCAGUUAAAGGUGUCAGCAAAGUGGGCCACCCAGUUUUAUCUUCCACUCGCAUGCACCAUGACAUCACUAGCCCACAACAGCAGACGCCUAAUCCAUUCAGCUUUACAGGCAUGGGGAGAGGUGCAAGCGCAGUACGUCCUCGUACAUCAUUUUCCCCUCACGUGCUCGCUGAUGAAUUCUCUCCCAUGCAACAAAAAACUAAUGAAGAUAUCAGCUCUCAGGACAUAGGGAACCUCAUAACUCAACUAGCACAUCAAAUUGGCGAGAGCAUUGCAAACCAGAUACAGAAGACCACAGGUAAACAGAAUGACACAAGUGUCCCCACACCCAACAUAAACACAGGGGAAGGUCAUCCUGAGUUAAACCUGACAGGGGUGAAGCUUGUAAUGCAGGCAGAUGUCAAAGAGCCGCCACACUUCAGGGGUGAUGGGACAGACAAACACACAGUACACGAAUGGGAGGAAGUUAUGGACGUCUAUCUGAAGAAAAGGGGUAUUCCACCCAAUGAGCACUCCCAAGAGAUAAUGUCAAAAUUGGUGGGAAAGGCUAGAGAUGUUGUAAGGGUGACUUUGCGCAGCAUCCCCUCUUUAAAACCUGCUGAAGACCCCAAGCUUGUUUUUGAUAUUCUCAAACAGCAUUUCAGUGAAGUAACAUAUUCCUCAAUGCCCCUAGCAGACUUCUACAACACCGUACCUCUGGCUGGAGAAAGCCCCAUGGACUACUGGAUCCGCCUGAACAAAGCCGUGGAUGUAGCAGAUGAGUGUCUGAGAAGGCAGGGGAAGAAUAUCGGAGAUCCCGCUCAUGAAGUCACUAUGAUGUUUGUAAAGCAUUGCCCUGACCCUGCACUCACCAGUGUCCUGAAAUGCAGAACGGCAGAGAAAUGGACAUCACAUGAAAUACAGGAACAUCUCAUUGAACAUCAGAGGGAGGCCAAGACAAGAAAUCAAGGUAAAACAUACCGGCCACCACAGCAGAGGCAGGUUAGUGCUCACGUUCAGGCUUCAACACUGGAAGAUGUAUCUACUGAUAAUGUGAGGGAGCACACUUGUGAGCAAAACAUGACAGGGCCAUUGUCCACUCCUCCUGCUGAGAGUACUUGCAUUCAGUCACUCAUCAGUCUGCUAGAUCGUGUUUUGGAGCAGAAGACUCAGACGGCAGUCAAUAUAAGACCAAACAGAGAACAAGCAGAUUCUCCCCAAAGGAGAUGUAAAGUCUGUCAGGCAGCUGAUCACUCUACUACAAUGCACUGCAGACAGGAGAACUUGUGCAUGAACUGUUUCAGACCAGGUCACUGGAGGCGAGAAUGUCGGCAACGCAGGCCAGGACGCAAUGCCCCGCCCCACCUCAGCCAGUCUCCACCCACAGAAGGGCAAGCUACAGCACCUUUAAACUAAAUAGCUCACACUCGGAGAGGGGACGUGUGGGCAUCAAAGAGGGAACCCUCGAAUGUGGUGAAGAUUUAAAGGAGGUGUAUUCAAAAAUAUGCAAAGCAAUGCCUGAUACCACAGUAAUUGUUCAAAACAUCCACAGGGUUGAAGCAUUUGGUGAAUUAUUUCACGCUCCUGUGACCAUAAAUGGUUCUGUUCAGCUGCGAGGAUUACUUGACUCUGGAUCGAUGGCUUGCACAAUCAGUGAGGUUGCAGAACGGAGACUCUUAUCUGAAAAUACCUUGAUCCAACAACAAGAAAUGACACAGAACAUUGUCCUUGUUGGUUGUGGAGGAGUGCGGGUGAGCCCAAAGUGCAUGUAUGACAUGGAACUGACAUUGUAUGGGAUUAAGUGCAUGGUACCAGUUUUGGUGGUUGCUGGUCAGAAUGAUGAACUCAUUGUAGGCACCAACCUGUUGAAGUAUGUAGUCCGUCAGAUGAAGAAGGAUGAUACUUACUGGAAACUUGUCUCAUGCAAUGGACAGGAGUCUGCAGAAUGCGAACGGUUCUUGGAGAUGAUGGCUGGCCUCACAAGGUGGAGAGGGGAGGAUGUGCCAGACAAGGUGGGAACAGUCAAGCUGACACAGGCAGUGACACUACAACCUCAGCAGGAGUACUUGUUGUGGGGCAGGUUGCCAAGUAAUGUCCCUAUGUCACCUGGGAGUACAGUGAUGGUGGAGCCCACCUCAUCUAAGUGUGCCCCCCGAGGCAUAAUGGUCGGCAGAGUGGUCACACACUUAUGGGGAGAUGGCUGGACUCCAAUGAGAGUGACAAAUAUCACUGGAAAGCCCCUCACCCUAAAAAGAAACUGCAAGCUAGCAGAUGUCUCUCCUUGCGUGGCAGCCGAAGACUUCACAUUGCUUCAAGGCUCCUGUCAGAAAGAAAAUGACACGGAUAAGACAACACAUGACCGACAUAAGACUGUGGAUAACACUGACCUGAAACAUAAACUGAAGGACCUUGGACUGGGAGAUGUUGACAUUGACGGUUGCCAGGUGAGCCCCUCUACCAAGAAUCAGCUGGUGGAAAUGCUUGAACAAUAUCAAGAUGUGUUCUCAAAGCACCAUCUAGAUUGUGGGGAAGCCAAGGGCUUUGUGCACAGGAUUCGGCUCACAGACGACCAUCCCUUCCGCCUCCCAUAUCGCAGAGUGCCCCCGGCUCAUUACCAAAAAUUGCGCCAAGUCCUCACUGAAAUGGAAGAGCAAGGAAUCAUUCGAAAAUCAGUGAGUGAAUUUGCUUCCCCUUUGGUGAUGGUUUGGAAAAAGAACGGUGACCUCAGGAUAUGCACAGAUUUCCGGUGGCUGAAUGCGAGAACCAUAAAGGAUGCUCACCCUCUGCCUCAUCAAGCAGACUGCCUUGCUGCCCUUGGCGGGAAUUCGGUUUUCAGCACCAUGGACUUGACAUCAGGGUUCUAUAACCUGCCCAUGCAUGAGGAAGACAAGAAGUACACCGCCUUCACAACACCACUGGGCUUGCAUGAGUAUAACAGGAUGCCACAAGGCCUGUGUAAUAGCCCUGCAUCCUUUAUGAGAAUGAUGCUGAGCAUCUUUGGUGACCUCAACUUUAGCACCCUGCUGUGCUAUCUCGAUGACCUCCUGGUCUUUGCUCCGUCAGAGCAAGAAGCCCUCAACAGACUGGAGGCCGUCUUUCAGAGGCUGAGAGAACACAACCUGAAGUUGAGUCCAAAAAAGUGUCAUCUGUUGCGACGCUCCGUGAAAUUCCUCGGCCACCUUAUUGAUGGUGAUGGGGUGGCUGUUGACCCAGGAAAAGUGGAGGUCAUUGUCAGGAUGACAAGGAAAGAUUUGAUGGAAGAUGACGGCUGCACACCUUCAGUUCGGAGAGUGAAAUCGUUCCUUGGAAUGAUAUUCUAUUACCAACAUUUCAUUCCGAACUGUUCCUCUAUCGCCAAGCCUCUGUUUGCUCUCACAGCUGGCCAAAAGCGAAGAGGAAAGACUGGCAAAUCAAACCAGAAGACAGGGGUUUUCAGAAAGCUAAAACCUACAGAUUGGACCGAUGAUUGUGACUCAGCCUUCCUCAGUCUCAAGGACAAGCUCCUGAACUGUGUGGUCCUCGCACACCCAGACUUCUCCAAACCGCUGGUCCUCUCCAUCGACGCCUCUCUCAAUGGUCUAGGAGCGGUUUUGUCCCAGAUACCAGAGGGUGAGACAAAGGCCCGUCCAAUCGCCUUUGCAAGCAAGACUCUGACUGGCUCACAAAAGAGGUAUCCCGCCCAUCGCUUGGAAUUUUUAGCGCUCAAGUGGAGUGUUUGUGAGAAAUUCGGUCAUUGGUUGAAGGGACAUUCUUUUACAGUGUGGACCGAUAAUAAUCCAUUGACUUAUUUGAUGACUAAACCAAAACUUGAUGCCUGUGAACAGCGGUGGGUGGCCAAGCUGUCCCCAUACACCUUCAGCAUCAAGCAUAUCCCCGGAACGAAGAACGUUGUGGCGGAUGCCUUGAGUAGAGACCCUUUUUCCAGGUCAGUGAGUCAAAGGCUGAUCAGUGAGCCAUACGAGGAUCUCGUGGCAGAGGCUAAGGCUACAAAGGCGGAAGGAGUGCAAGAUGUUUUUCGGUGCAGGGUUCAAUGCUCUCAGGCACCUGACUCAGUCUGUGCAAGUGCAAAUGUCUCUUGUGGCAAUCAAAUUGGAAGUCAGAGUUCCUCUGAUGUUAAAUCCAUUUGUGUAGCUCACAUUGAGUGGGAAGAGGCAGCAGAGUCACGAGCGGUACAGUUUUUUAAGGCUCUUCCUCAGAUAGCACCUUCCGAACAAGAGGCACUUCCAGCUCUGUCUCUUGAGGAACUUCGGCACAGUCAGGAGUCGGACCCAGACAUUCGGGGGGUUUUGCUAUUUGUAGAACGGGGAGAACCGCCAUCCAGAAGGGAGAGAAGUAACUUACCUCAUAAGGCACGAGCACUCUGUAAGCAAUGGCAUCGUCUGAGAGUUCAAGAUGGAGUCCUCUAUAGGACAAUCAGGGACCCAUUGACUAGACACACAAGGUAUCAACUCGUCUUACCAUCGACCUGUAAAGCCAAGGCCCUUUCUGGAGUGCAUGAUCUUGCGGGGCACCAAGGACAAGCCAGAACCCUGCACCUUGCCAGACAGCGCUUUUUCUGGCCACAAAUGGAAAGAGACAUUAAGGAUUACGUGAAAUGCUGCCGACGAUGUGUCCUUGCAAAAACCCCUGAACCAGCUGCCCGAGCUCCAUUGGAGAGCAUCCACACCUCAGCACCCAUGGAGUUGGUGUGUAUCGAUUUUUGGAGCGCCGAGGAUAGCAAGCAGAGAUCUGUGGAUGUUCUGGUUGUAACAGACCACUUCACAAAGUUGGCUCAUGCUUUCCCCUGUGUAAACCAGACGGCGAAACAAGUUGCAAAGAAGUUGUGGGAUAAUGUGUUUUGCAUAUAUGGUUUUCCGGAGCGGAUUCAUUCCGAUCAGGGAGCCAAUUUUGAAAGCAAACUAAUAUCAGAACUCCUCAGUCUCGCAGGGGUAGCAAAGUCACAUACAACGGCAUAUCAUCCUAUGGGAAACGGACAGACUGAAAGAUUCAAUAGGACGCUAGGCAGUAUGCUACGUUCCUUACCACUGGCAGCAAAACAACACUGGGCACAGCAGAUACAAACCCUGACAUUCGCUUACAAUGCUACUGUGCAUGAAACAACUGGAUAUGCUCCAUUCUAUCUGAUGUUCGGUCGAAUCCCUAGACUCCCGGUAGAUAUGGUCUUCCAGCAGGUCCUUAAGGACACCAAUGUGGUUGACUACAAGACCUAUGCUGGCAAACUGAUGGCGAGCCUUCGUGAAGCUGCUAGUAUUGCCCAGCAGCAUGCAAGAAAAGAACAGCAGCAUCAAGCCGAUGGCUACAACAAAAAGGUCCGGGGCACCUGUCUGAAUGUGGGGGAUAGAGUUUUGCUUGCCAAUAAAGCAGAGAGAGGGAAGAGAAAGUUGGCAGAUAAGUGGGAACCCACAAUCUAUACAGUCAUAGACUGUAAUCCCCAAACUCACAUCUACAAAAUCAAGGAUGAGAGUGGAAAGACCAAGGUGGUGCAUCGGAACUUGAUAUUGGAUGUGAGCUUUUUACCAAUCCCCGAACAAACCGGUGCAGAACCCAGUUCAGCCACCACAGAUGAGAUCAGUGGGUCUCAGACUCGGCUAGCAGAUGCCUUGAGGGGUCUGUCAGAGGAAACUUCAGAGAUCCGGACAAACUCAUGGGUGAGCAUGUCACCGGAUGUUGACUGUGAGUCAUUGGGGGAUGGUAAGGAGACGAAAGAGAUGGAUGAGAGGUCAGAAUCCUCAACUUUGGACACUGAUCAGAUGUCAUGUGCAGGUUCUCAUGACAAUUCUGCAGAUGGUGGGAGUGUGGAACGGAGGGAGGAGGUUUUACCUUCGAGAGACUUGCCUGAUGUUACAGUGGAUGGUGAUCAAGCACCAAUGCAAAAUUCAGGGCUUGAGAGACAUGCUGUCAGGACCAGUACAGGCAGGGUUGUUAAGGCGGUUAAUCGCCUAAUUGAGAACAUGGCCCAGAAACCACUUCCAAGGGGUAUUAUGAGAGGGUUUGGCAGAAAAUCUCAGUCUUUGCUGACUCUGUUCUGAGGUGUGAUAGAUGGGGGUACAGCUACGUACAAAUUGUAGUAUUUUUUAUUUUUUUUAUUUAUUAUUUUUUUUUCAUUCAUUAUUCAUCAUCAUUCUUAUGUAUCUUCUUGUUCAUGCACGAUAAAUGUUUUCAUUGGUAGGGUUGUGUGCCAAGAUUGGGUGUGGUGUAUAAGGCACCAUAUUAACUAGGAGACGCAGUAGCCUGAUCAACUUCUGUCUUCUCUGAACUUAUUUCAUAAGUAGCUUUUCAUGCUGUAUUGAGGAAUCUGAUUCCGGGGGUCAUCUUGGUUUGAGUGAAUGUGACCAUUGUAGAUUGCACAAAUUACUGAUUACAGUUCCUUCCUAAUGUUUGGGAUUUUGGAGAAAUUAAGGAGGGGUGAAUGUAACGGACAAGGAAAGAGUUUUGUAUAAUUUUUUGUUUUAUUUUAUUAAUUUCACCAAAAUCCUUUCUAUUAUGUGUUUUGACUUAUUUUUAUGAUUAUUUUUAUGUUAUGUCAACAUUAUUUAACAUUGUUUUCAGAAUGAGGUAACCUUAUUUAUUAAUUUUGGCUUCACAUUUUAUGGUUAUUUUAUUCUCAUAGUCAGCACUUUUAUUUUGAAGUUCCAUGAUGUCGGUUGUGAUGUCAGAUCCGCCUCUCCUCAGUGAUCGUUAACCUGAUGGAGAGCGGUAAGUGUUUGAAAUAGCUUAAACUAAAAAGUUCAUUUUUUAAGUUUUAAGUGUAGUUGGAAGCAGUUAAAUUUGAGAAUAUUGGUCUGUGAUGUGUUUGUAAAGGUUUUAGGUCAUGUAUGGUUUGUUGUUCAUCUGCACAUUGAACGAAGAGAGCAAGCUAGCUUGCCGGAGCUCUCCCUGUGGGUGUGUGUGUGGGUGUGGGUGCGGAGGGGUGCGUCUAAGCGCACAUGUUAAUUCAUCUCUCCUUAUCUUUGUUUCUUUGUUUUUGUGUGUUAGGUAGCCGGUCGUGGAAAUGUGUAAACGCUCACACUCAGAAUGUCACAUUACAGAUUGUGGGGAACAGAAUAAAGAAAAUUCACGUGGCAGCA